rnacentral:rRNA from 1 species
AACUAACGCUGGCGGCGUGCCUAACACAUGCAAGUCGUACGAGAAAGUCCGCUUCGGUGGAUCAGUAAAGUGGCGCACGGGUGAGUAACGCGUGGAUAAUCUACCCCUCAGUUGGGAAUAACGUACCGAAAGGUGCGCUAAUACCGAAUGACACUGCACAUCUUCUGUUGUGUAGUCAAAGAUGGCCUCUGCUUGCAAGCUUUCGCUGAAGGAUGAGUCCGCGUACCAUUAGCUAGUUGGUAGGGUAAUGGCCUACCAAGGCAACGAUGGUUAGCUGGUCUGAGAGUAUGAUCAGCCACACUGGAACUGAGACACGGUCCAGACUCCUACGGGAGGCAGCAGUAAGGAAUAUUGCGCAAUGGGGGCAACCCUGACGCAGCAACGCCGCGUGAGUGAGGAAGGUUUUCGGACCGUAAAGCUCUGUCGAGCGGGAAGAAAUGCACGAUGGCUAAUAUCCAUCAUGCUUGACGGUACCGCUAAAGGAAGCACCGGCUAACUCCGUGCCAGCCGCCGCGGUAAGAC